UAAGGGCUGACCACCACUAAGGCAGCAUCUCUUGGAGAUUGCUCCUUGGUGGUGAUUACCUCAGCGGUUUCCAGCAGACCGAAGGCUUCCAUACAGGGAAUGUGAAGUACAAUAAAUAAAUGAGGAAAAAACAACCUGUGGCACAAGCCAGACAAUACAACAUAUCUUGAUGUGGUGCAAUGCAGGUAAUCAGAUAAAAGGACGAGAGAAGAGUAGCUCCUUGAACAGUUGCAUUCUUUAAAGGUUUCUCAGUCUGAUCAAUAAACGCAGGCUCUGACCUAACAACAUACUCCCCAGCAGAGAACAAGCAGCUAACAGUUUCUGCUCUAAAGAGUGCUAACAGCUGGACAGCUUUUGCUCCCAAAUGACCGAGACCAUUAUUACUUAACUAGUAGACACUUUUCAUUAAGAAGGAGGAGAAGUACGGCUCUGUAAAAAGAUCACGUCGUUUCCAUAACAUAGUUAUGAUCAGCAUCUAACAAUGGCCUUUCUGCUUAACCAUGAUAAGCCAAAACAGCACCUACAUCUUUUAGGAAAGGGAUCACUGAGAUAAGCUAUUGCAAAGAUUCUUCUGCAUACUGCCAAUGUGCCAUCAGAGCUGAGAUGUAUCUGCCUGUCUUGAUUUGAUUUGUCAUUACACAAGGAAAUUAGAGGCAUCCAUUUGUGACACAUGGAAAAAUUUUCUAUUGUAUUUCUAUUCAUAUGCUCCUAUCUUCAAGUACUGCCAUGUGAAACUGCUGAAGCGCAAUGUUUGCUAGGAAGGAGCUGAUAUAACUAAGACAUGGGAGAGUCUUCAAAUACACAUUGGACAGAGUGAGUGACAUUGUUUCCAUUUGGGAGUCUGAAGGGAAAUUCUGGUGACUAAAAAAUUUCAUGUAAAUUUUCGAUACUGAAGAAAAUCAUGAGGCCUCCAUAUAGUACUUAUCCAGUGUCCAGUUCUUCCUCAGUGUACCUUGUUAUCCCUCAUAUGCAUUAUUCAAAUAGUUAUAACACAAAAACUUGCAGAUUAUGUUGGUUUCUCCAAGAACACUGAACAAUUAAUUCUUGUCAUGCAAAGAUUUCAAUUGCUCUUUACUGAAGAUAUUUAAGUAUUGUUUGCAGACAAUUCUUCAUUUUAUCAGAAAUUUCUGCCACAAAUAUAGAAAUGUGUUUUCCUUGAUGGUGUGAAUAUAGUAUGAGUUGCUUUCUGCAGCAGUUUAAAUGUAGUUCAUUUAUAACUCCAA